AAGAACAGAACUGUUCCUGGAGGCUGAGAUCACACUUUUGUUUGUAGGUGAAGCAGGAUUAAUGCAUCACCCUGCUGAAUGAUGAGCAGACACACCCUUGAAUUUAGUUAAAUAUGCACCCUUCCUGCCUUUACUCAAGAAGUUCAGUGUUUCCAAAGCUAUGAUUUAAGGGUAAACAUUCUUCCUCUCUGCAUCUUAGGGCUUCUGAUAUUCUGGAGAAACCAGUGUUAUCUGAGUGUCAAAGCUCAGUUAUUAACCCUUUCUCAGAGUUUCUGGAUAAUGUUAUUAGCUUUCAAGCACGUGAUGCUUCUCAAGAGAGCUGUUGACUUCCAGUCUGACCAAAUUCUUUCACGUCGUGGCGUGUACGAUGUAUAAAAGUUUUGGAAUGUCUCUGAGAUGACUUCUUCAGACACACAACCUUGCUGUAUUGCUCAAACUAGAUUUGCACUCCUGGAAUCCAGUAGAUCCUUCUACAUCCAGAAUUGGUGGGUUCUUGGUCUGACUUAAAGAAUGAAGCCACAGACCCUCACACCAAAAUCUCAUCCACUCCUCUGCGUCCGUCCACAUGUCCUGGGAAGCCUUCCCUGAUCACCUCAGAGCUUCCGAAUGGCUCCAGAGCAAUAAAGGAUUUCAACAUUUGGGAUGAUGGCUUUCAGGAUUGUGUCUUUCAGGAUUAUAAUCAGCUCCCAUUCUGGAGAAAACGCCAAUAUCU
rnacentral:lncRNA from 10 species